ensembl:lncRNA
GGCCUGACUGGAGAACCUAUCCUGUGAGAUCAAAUUUUUCACUUAAUUUGGCAUGUAUGUACUUGUGUGUAGUGCACCAAUUCCUGCCAUAGUCACUUAGAGCUCUCGGCUCUGCUGGCACUUGCUCUGGUGGCCCUGACAAGCCUGGGGAUGGCUGUUCCCAUUCCGCGUGCAUUCGCUAUGAGUGCUGUAGGAGCUCACGGUCCAUCUUGUGUUGGGGCUCUUUGGGUCUCAGGAGUAAACUUUUCAUGGUGCUCCCUGAUAGCCCAUCCCCUGCUGCUCCCCCAGAUGGAUGUCGGACCCCCUUUCCCCUCACCCCGUAGCGCUCUGUGGCCCCUGUGGUGUACCUGUGGCAUGGCUUGUGAGGGUCAUUUCCCCAGAGUGCCACUCUAGACCCGAUCGUUCCCAGGCUAGGGGUUGAAUCGGAGCUGUAGCUGCCAGCCUACGCCAGAGCCACAGCAACGCGGGAUCCGAGCCACGUCUGCAACCCACACCACAGCUCAUGGCAACGCCAGAUCAUUAACCCACUGAGCAAGGCAGGAGCAAACUGGCAAACUCAUGGUUCUUAGUUGGAUUCAUUAACCACUGAGCCACAAUGGGAACUCCUGUUAUUUUAUUUUUUAUUCUGCUUUUUAGGGCCGCACCCAUGGCACAUGGAGGUUCCCAGGCUAGAGGUCAAAUCAGAGCUACAGCUGCCGGCCUACACCACAGCCACAGCCACACCAGAUCCUUAACCCACUGAGCGAGGACAGGGAUCGAACCUACAUCCUCAUGGAUGCUAGUCAGAUAUGUUUCCGCUGAGCCACAACGGAAAUUCCCUUCUUUUUAGGUGUUUGCAAUAUACGUGUGUGUGUGUGUGUGUGUGUGUGUGUGUGUGUGUCGGUGUGUGUGUGUUUCCUUAGUGUAUUUUGAGGAUUUUUGAGCCUGUGUUUGUAAUCACUGUGUAGUUUUCUUCUUUGUGUUUGGCUUUGGGUCUGGGUACCACUGGCCUCCUGGGAUGAGUGGGGAGGUGAUCAGUGCCUGUCAUGCCCAUCAGGUCAAGAAUUUACAAGGUGCACUUCCAGUGCCUUCUUGUUUCUGUUCUUGAAAGUACCAGCCUUUGAUGUCUGAAGUGCCCUCUCUGUUGGCCAUAAAUGUGAGGAGUUCUCCAUGUCUCCAAAGGGCCCAGAGCUGGGCAGACACCUUCCCCUCGUGCUAUGUCCCUCAGUAAGUGACAUAGUGGAGACAGUGGUUUGGCGGAAGGGCUCCAGUUGUCUUUAAAGUUACCUAUCCUGCUGUGUGGGGGGGCUGAGUGGUUGUCCUUGGUCCCUGGGGUCAUAUAUCCACAGGGUUACAGGCAGCAGAAGGCAGCUCUGACUAAAUUGAGUCAGGUAAGGUUGUUGAAAGGCUGUGAAGUUGCAGAUAAGAGGGAAACUGAUCAUUCAGGUCUUGGAAAGAACGUGCAUUAGUCACCAUCUCUUCAGUCACCGUCUUUCUUGGGGUGAAUCUUUUCCGGCUGCUUUACGUGAGGUGUCAUUGGGCUCCAGACUUGGUGUCUGGAGCAGUGGGUAGGCCUGGCCUGAGGUGGGCACGUGCCUGCCCGGGGGGAGCCAGGCUCCCUUACCCAGUCUCACCCAGGAGAACAGAGGAGGCAGCAGUGCUAGAAAGAAGGGGACCAGGGGAAAAAUAUUGGCCGUAGAGGGUUUUGUCUAGUUGUGGUUUAUGCCUUUUAAAAACAAAAGCAAUUUGGAGUUCUCCUUUGAUGUAGCAAGUUAAGGACUCGGCGUUGCCACUGUAGCAGCUCAGGCGACUGUUGUGGCUCGGGUUGGAUCCCUCGCACAGGAACUUCCACAUGCCCUGGGCCCAGCCAAGAACCCCUUCCCCCUGCCAAAAGGUAAUUCAAGUCCAUUAACCCAAGUACCCAGUGCUCAGUCAAGUCUGCAGAGACAGCUGAGACAGAUUCCUUUCAAAGAAUUUCCAGGGUGUGGUUUUCUUUUUUUUGGUCUUUUUAGGGCCGUACCCUCAGCAUAUAGAGGUUCCCAAGCUAGGGGUUGAAUCAGAGCUACAGCUGCCGGCCUAUGCUACAGCCACAGCGGCAAAGGAUCCGAGCCACAUCUGUGACCUACACCACAGCUCACGGCAAUGCCGGAUCCUUAACCUGCUGAGCAAGGCCAGGGAUUGAACCUGCAUCCUCACAGAUCCUAGUUAGGUUGGUUAACCGCUGAACCACAAAGGAACUCCAGGGUGUGGUUUUCUAAGGGCAUUAAAGAGAGAGGCACAGAGACAGAAAGGGGAAGCCUCAGUGUGGUCCUGAGUCUGAGGAACGGAUGGGACUAGCAAGACUGUUCUGGUUCAUGUAGUAAAUGGUAUUUUAAGGGAUAAGUCCUCACUGAAAAGGACAAGUCCUCACGGAAAAGCCACCAACACCAGGGGGUGCUGGGCCGACCUACCGCUGAUAUAAUUCACUCCAGGAGGCCCUGGUAUCUGUGAGGUCCAGUCCACUGUGGUUGAGUCUAUGGGUGCAGGACCUGAGGAUACAGAGGCGAACUGUCCUGCCCUUUAAUGUGAGAGAUGCAAGCAUCUAUGGAAUGUGGUCUCCAUGGGGGUCCUGGACCCAGUCCCCUCAAGGGACAGACAGACUCUUCCCCCCACUGCCUCUCUGCAGAUCCAGCAUCACUUACAAGUUGCAGACCUGGGGAAGCUCUGCCUCAAGCAAGUGUGUCUGCACCAUUUUUCCAACUGCAUUUGUUCACUUCAUUUCUCUGUGUCACAUUUUGGUCAUUCUCACAAGAUGUCAAACUUUUUCAUAGUUAUUAUUCUGGUGAGCUGUCCUCAGGGAUUUUUGGUGUUUCUAUUGGAAAAAUAUUACUGCUCACUGAAGGCUCAGUUGAUGGUUAACAUUUUCUAGCAAUGAAGUGUUUUUAAAUUAUGUUAUCUCUUUAGACCUAACACACUUAAUAGGCAGUGUGACUAUGCACUGGAAAACCACAAAACUCACGUGACUUGCUUUAUUGCACUGCUCACUUGGUUGGGGUGUCUGGACCUGAGCCCACACCAUCUCCGAGGUGCACCUGUAUGUCUGUGACAUCAAAGAAGUUGCAGUGCUUAUCUCAGGAAUGUGGUCUUAAAAAUGAAUUCCUGCUUGGGAAGCAUAGAGGUGGAUUGAGGAAAAGUGAAAAUUAUUCCCCUGAGACCUCUGUGUCAUGGCCUUAUCGAGCCAAAAAGUAAAUCAGGUUUUCUUUUCUUUUUUUUUAGGGCUGCACCCAUGGCAUAUGGAGGUUCCCAGGCUAGGGAUCAAAUUGGAGCUGUAGUUGCCAGCCUACACCACAGCCAUAGCAAUACGAGAUCUGAGCCUCUUCUUUGACCUGUAUCACAGCUCACGGCAAUGCCGGAUCCCUAACCCACUGAGCAAGGCCAGGGAUGGAACCUGCAUCCCCAUGGAUGCUAGUCAGGUUCAUUUCUGCUGAGCCAUGAUGGGAACUCUGUAAAUCAGGUUUAAUGGGAGGGGACCUGGUCUCAGAGCAUCAGGAAUCACUCUGGUGCUGUUCAGCUGCUAAAUGGGAAGCUGCAUUAAGAGGUUCAGUUCAUGUGAGCUUCAUCCUCCCGCGAGAGAAAGGCCCAUGGCUUUUCCAGGCCUCAUCAAUGCAGCCUCGGGUUCCAAGAUUUCCUGUUUCUCUGCCCAGGUUCACUGGCUCAGUUAAGUCCUAUGAGGGGAGAAUUCUUCCCCUCCUAGGCUCACUGUCCUUAACUUUGGCUUCUUUUCUGGAUCAUGGCUCCAUGACUGAAGGACAUGGCCAGUGUUAACUAACUGUUUCUUAAACUCAGAGGGCUGACGAGGAUGGUGGCUGGCUUGUGGAAGGAUUAAGUGGGGGUCAUGGUGAUGGAGGCUCUGCUGGAGAUGGGGUCUGGCCUGAGCUUCCUGUGGCACAGGCUCAGGGCCCCAUGUCAGCCUGAAGGGCAGAGCUGAAGGGACCAGGAGCUCGCAGGGCCUCUUUCAGUAUGAAGGAGGGUGGUUUGGGCCCUUAGAAAGGGCACAGUGAGGCGUUCUCCAUGCUCAGAGACAAGAAUGCUCCUGUAGGAGUUCCUGUUGUGGCUCAGUGGAAACGAAUCCAACUAGGAACCAGGAGGUUUCGGGUUUGAUCCUUCAUUUUGCUCAGUGGGUUAAGGAUCUGGCAUUGCCAUGAGCUGUGGUGUAGGUCGCAGAUGCGGCUCGGAUCCUGUGUUGCUGUGGCUGUGGUGUUGGCUGGCAGCUGCAGCUCCGAUUCAACCCCUUGCCUGGGAACCUCCAUGUGCCACAGGUGUGGCCCUAAAAAAAGACAAAAAAACAAACAAAGAACGCUCCCGUAAAUGUCCCUGCUGAGGCUUGUUACUGUGAAGAACCAGGAGAUUCCAGACUGCAGGCCAGUCUUCCAGGAGCUGCCACCGCGGGCUUGCUGGCUGGUCACUGUAGCUGGAGGCGGCCCUGGUCCCGUCGCUUGUCUGAAUAGGCGGAGGUCUCUGGAACAUGAGCAAGCCGGGGUUGGCCCCUUCCACUCCAGGGAGACCCUGAAUGACAGUGACACUGAAAGGGCUUCUCUCUGCUGCCAUUUCCUUGUCCCCAUAGCAUUGGAAGGUAGUCCUGGGAUCCAGCAGAAAGUCCCAAGACGGGGCUGCUCCAUUCCUGCAUGGCCACUUGUGACUUUGUGCUUGUCCUCUUGGGAAUGUCACAGUGCAUGGCUCCUCUGCUGCAGGCUUGUACCUUGAUUCCCAAGGAUGUCACCCUUUCCUUCAGUCCUUUGUUGCUGGAGGAAACCUACCUUCAUUUGCACUCAGGUCGACACUGUCAGAUGGGUGACAGAUGCAGGGACUUGAGGUCCUGUCUUUAGAGCUGGAGUUCACAGUGGAUUCAUUACCACUGAUUCUCCCGCCAAGUGUUUUCUGCAAAAAGCUUCUGGUUUCUGGAUGCCCAGGAGACUGUGCAGCCAAGAGUGCUGGGGGGAGCCAGAAUGACAGGUGCACCAGGUGAAGGCCAAGGUGCUGUGGGGGAGCGCCUGCCCCAGGGCCUGCAGCCUCAGCAUCACUCUUGAGCUGCCCCCCCCCCUCCCUGCUGAAUGAGCACCUCAGGGGAGCUCCCUGGUGGCCUAGUGGCUAGGACUUGGUGCUUUCACCACUGCAGCCUGGGUUCAAUCCCUAGUCUGGGAAUUGAGAUCC